UACGUUCCCGGGGCUUGUACACACCGCCCGUCACGUCACGAAAGUCGGUAACACCCGAAGCCGGUGGCCCAACCCUUGUGGAGGGAGCCGUCGAAGGUGGGACUGGCGAUUGGGACG
rnacentral:rRNA from 1 species